AACGAACGCUGGCGGCGCGCUUAACACAUGCAAGUCGAACGAGAAGGCGUAGCAAUACGCUUGUACAGUGGCGAACGGGUGAGUAAUACGUGGGCGACCUACCCUCGAGUGGGGAAUAACCCGCCGAAAGGCGGGCUAAUGCCGCGUACGCUUCCAUCUUUAUGGAGGUGGAAGGAAAGCCGUGCCGUGGGCACGGCGCUCAAGGAUGGGCUCACGUCCUAUCAGCUUGUUGGAGGGUAACGGCCUACCAAGGCUCCGACGGGUAGCUGGUCUGAGAGGACGAUCAGCCACACUGGCACUGCGACACGGGCCAGACUCCUACGGGAGGCAGCAGUGAGGAAUAUUGCGCAAUGGGCGAAAGCCUGACGCAGCGACGCCGCGUGGGGGAGUGAAGGU
rnacentral:rRNA from 1 species